rnacentral:rRNA from 1 species
UACGGGGGGGGCAAGCGUUGUUCGGAAUUACUGGGCGUAAAGGGCGCGUAGGCGGUCUGUUAAGUCGGAUGUGAAAACUCUGGGCUCAACCCAGAGCCUGCAUCCAAAACUGGCAGGCUAGAGUUCUGGAGGGGGUAGCGGAAUUCCUGGUGUAGCGGUGAAAUGCGUAGAUAUCGAGAGGAACACCGGUGGCGAAGGCGGCUUCCUGGACCGACACUGACGCUGAGGCGCGAAAGCUAGGGGAGCAAACGGG